rnacentral:rRNA from 1 species
AUACGGAGGGUGCAAGCGUUACUCGGAAUCACUGGGCGUAAAGCGCGCGCAGGCGGCCAUUUAAGUUGGAUGUGAAAGCCUACGGCUUAACCGUAGAACUGCAUCCAAAACUAUUUGGCUAGAGUGUGGGAGAGGAAGAUGGAAUUAGUUGUGUAGGGGUAAAAUCCGUAGAGAUAACUAGGAAUACCAAAAGCGAAGGCAAUCUUCUGGAACACUACUGACGCUGAGGCGCGAAAGCGAGGGGAGCAAACGGGAUUAGAAACCCCAGUAGUCC